rnacentral:rRNA from 1 species
CAGCAGCCGCGGUAAUACGUAGGGUGCGAGCGUUAAUCGGAAUUACUGGGCGUAAAGCGUGCGCAGGCGGUUUUGUAAGCCAGAUGUGAAAUCCCCGGGCUUAACCUGGGAAUGGCAUUUGGGACUGCAAGGCUAGAGUAUGGCAGAGGGGACUAGAAUUCCUGGUGUAGCAGUGAAAUGCGUAGAUAUCAGGAGGAAUACCGAUGGCGAAGGCAGGUCCCUGGGUUAAUACUGACGCUCAUGCACGAAAGCGUGGGGAGCAAACAGGAUUAGAUACCCUGGUAGUCCACGCCCUAAACGAUGUCAACUGGUUGUUGGGGGUUUGACACUCUCAGUAGCGAAGCUAACGCGUGAAGUUGACCGCCUGGGGAGUACGGCCGCAAGGUUAAAACUCAAAGGAAUUGACGG